rnacentral:rRNA from 1 species
GGUACCUGAAGAAUAAGCACCGGCUAACUACGUGCCAGCAGCCGCGGUAAUACGUAGGGUGCAAGCGUUAAUCUGAAUUACUGGGCGUAAAGCGUGCGCAGGCGGUUCUGUAAGAUAGAUGUGAAAUCCCCGGGCUCAACCUGGGAAUUGCAUAUAUGACUGCAGGACUUGAGUUUGUCAGAGGAGGGUGGAAUUCCACGUGUAGCAGUGAAAUGCGUAGAUAUGUGGAAGAACACCGAUGGCGAAGGCAGCCCUCUGGGACAUGACUGACGCUCAUGCACGAAAGCGUGGGGAGCAAACAGGAUUAGAUACCCUGGUAGUCCACGCCCUAAACGAUGUCUACUAGUUGUUGGGGACGAUAGUCCUUGGUAACGCAGCUAACGCGUGAAGUAGACCGCCUGGGGA